rnacentral:rRNA from 1 species
UACGGAGGAGGCAAGCGUUAUCCGGAAUUACUGGGCGUAAAGGGCGCGUAGGCGGCCUGCUAAGUCGAACGUGAAAUCCCUGGGCUCAACCCAGGAACUGCGUCCGAUACUGGUUGGCUUGAAUCCGGGAGAGGGAUGUGGAAUUCCAGGUGUAGCGGUGAAAUGCGUAGAUAUCUGGAGGAACACCUGAGGCGAAGGCGGGUUGCUAGGCUGACACUGACGCUGAGUGCGCGAAAGCCAGGGGAGCAAACGGG